UGGUUGUCUGCUAAGAAAGAAAAAGAAGAUAUGAUGUGGACAGAAAUUAUGGUAAAAAAAGUCUAUAUCAUUAAUUAUAUUAUUUUUUUGUUUUGUUCUUUUUACACCAUUUUGUUUUCUUGAAUAAGCUUACUGUUCCAUUUAAGUUUUUCCUAUUUAUACAAGUUUUUUGUUUGCAUUUUAGAAAUAUUUUAUGGUUAGUUCAGAGAGUCCUCC
rnacentral:lncRNA from 1 species